rnacentral:rRNA from 1 species
GACGAACGCUGGCGGCGUGCCUAACACAUGCAAGUCGAACGGAAAGGCCCUGCUUUUGUGGGGUGCUCGAGUGGCGAACGGGUGAGUAACACGUGAGUAACCUGCCCUUGACUUUGGGAUAACUUCAGGAAACUGGGGCUAAUAUCGGAUAGGAGCUCCUGCUGCAUGGUGGGGGUUGGAAAGUUUCGGCGGUUGGGGAUGGACUCGCGGCUUAUCAGCUUGCUGGUGGGGUAGUGGCUUACCAAGGCUUUGACGGGUAGCCGGCCUGAGAGGGUGACCGGCGACAAUGGUACUGAGGUACGGCGCAGUCUCCUACGGGAGGCAGCGGUGGGGAAUAUUGCACAAUGGGCGGAAGCCUGAUGCAGCAACGCCGCGUGCGGGAUGACGGCCUUCGGGUUGUAAACCGCUUUCGCCUGUGACGAAGCGUGAGUGACGGUAAUGGGUAAAGAAGCACCGGCUAACUACGUG